UGAAAAUUUGUCGCCCUCACGGGCUCCCCCAACAACAUACGGAACGACAUUCGAAAUCGGUCCAGUGACUUGAGGAAGUGAAUGUGAAAUCCUACACUGACUGCAAACACGACCUCAUGUGCUCCACUCAUUUUCAGCAAUGCUCCUUUUAUAUUGGACACAGUCGAGCUGUACUGAAGCCUAGUGCAUGCCCUAGCGUUCCGACACCAGGUCAACAAAAUAUACAUGUUCAGUUGAUGGAGCUUACGCUGUUUCAUAUGUGCCUCUGUACUUCUCUGUAAAUUUUCUCAACUUUAUAUUGCUUGUGUGCAGGUCAUGCAAGAGUAUACCCACCGCGCAGAGUGUCUCAGAUGCAAACCCCUUCAAGCAUUUGCCAUGAAGCCAUGACAGGGGAAGGGUUUCACUUGGGCCGUUCAGGUGAAAGUCGGCUUGCGCCGUACUCUUUGUUUGAGCAGGGGUUUUUCAAAUCCUUUAAAACGUAAAGUAAUAAUUAUAAGUACAUGAUCGCUGCAUAAACGUAAUUUUUAAAAGUAUUUUACAUGGAUGGCCAGAUCGUUUGUGUGAGGCAUAUUCAUCUAGCACAUGUUACAUGACUAAAAUUCAUUUACUAACCACGAGACUCUGGCUUAGAUUUUUGUGCAAUUAUACCAAAACCAAGGAAGAAUCUCCAGCAAAGUGCGUGGGCACCAGAACUGUCUACUCCAAACAGCUAUGUUCUACAACACGUCCUACAUCGUGGCUGCUCAGUCAAUCAUCUUUUUUAUAUGGGGAGUAGCGACAUUGACAGUGCAGCGUGGCGCGGCGUGGUGAAGGCGCCUGUGUAAUACAGUCGCAACUUGUUACAGAGAAAGUCAAUGCAAGGUGUUUUCACUGAAACAAAAUAGAAUAAUCUCUUGAUUGAUGAAAUUGGAAUUUACAAAUUCCUUUAUUUUAUUAACAGUGCCCUCUCAAACAAAACCAAUUUUCCUUAUUUAUUGCAAAAUUACAAGCCUCGCUUUAUGAGUCUCAAUUAAUUAUAAUAUUUUGCAGGAAUAUUGACCAUUCAUAAAUUGUGCGUUAAUUGUAUUCGAUACCAUAAUGUACACCAUUCACGAUCACCAUCCCUUUUUUAUUAUAGUUUUUUUUUUAUUUAAUAUAGAGGUGCGACCUGUGUCGAACAGCCUGUGUACCUACAAAUUAUACUUACGGUCUGAUUUUUUCAAGUUAAACUCAUCUGCUACUGAUUAUUACCCCGAAUAAGUUGAGCCCCAGUUUUUGUUGAACAUCAUCUCUGUAUGAACCCCAAUCAUGUAUCAUAUCUACUAAUUAGUGGCAAUAUUAAUGCGUGUGUAUGAUGUAAAAUUAUUUUAGUGCAAAAACAAACUAUGCAAGGCACGUUCGAUAUCACAACAUUCGGCAUUUGUGACAAGUAAUUGUGACAACUGUAUAUUUGACUUCCUUUACCUGAGGUCCAGCUGCACAGAGAAAAGAGAAAAAAAUUACGGAGCUUAUAACACCCAAAUGCAUCAAGAAGCACCUAAUGUCAUCCUGAUUUACAGAUGGGGAACUGAAAGACUGUACCUCCACAUUUUUCUUCCCUUUUCUAGGGAGCAUACUUAAAAAAAAGGCAGACGGAAGUAUAGUUUGUUCAGACGUAGCGCUGGAGAACAAUAUCCCACCCACAACUACGUUUUGACAUGCUCCUUAGCAGCAGCAGCUACAUGUCUGUCGACUACGCCGUGAAACAGCUUAAUUUUACGGUACUGUGUUCUAAUGAAAUUGUGACUCACAUUAAUAAACAGAUUUUCUUUGUUGCAACACAGUUGUGUGUUGCUCUCUCAUUCACCUACACGUUUCCCUCUACUUCGUGCAGUCGAAUAGCUAUUCUGCCUGAGUCACGGCAGAUUGUGAUAUCGCACAUCGACCUAUACUAAGCUCUGUCCCAAGUACCGUCAACAUGCACAAUUCAUCCGAUGCAAACAACUUGAUACAUCUGUUAAUAGUUAAGUUGCACGAUGCAGCUAGCACGAUGAUCCAUGUGCUGCGUACUUCACUUCACAAAAACUUAACAAAAUUCACAAAAACGAACGCAGGUCAUCAUUCACAAUAGAAGUGCUAAAUGGCACGCAAAUGUAGAGACCACAGCACCGACAACACUACUCCAACAAGUGCGACGACGUAAACAAGGCUUGAAGCCCGGAAGCCACAAAUCACCAAUUUCACAAAACUGUGCAGCAUAUUGUAGAUCAAGAACUUCAAAAUACAUUUCCUCAAUUCAGAAACCGACGAUUUCGCAUUAUCUUCGCCUUCGCACUGCUUAUUGUUGACAUUAAGAGCAUUUAGGCUUGGCUUGGCUUGGACAAGUUGCCAGUUGGAUGGCUUGGAUUGUAUCUGUAAUCCACUUUGAUCCAAACAAUCAUCCAACUUUAGGCACAGUGUGUACAGACACUUUAUACUUUGCGCCAAGCAUGGGGAGCGAAAUUUCUGUGCUAAUAACUGUGGGACGUCUGAUGGCUGCCGCCGCCGUUUGACGCGCUGGAUAUGGAGAAAUGCAUAGGAAGAUGGCUACUUACUCCCACCUGGUGGGAACUUUCUACAACUGGCGCCCAACAUUUGGGGUCCGAGCUCGUCUGUUCCGCAGCGGGGAACACAUGGCACGGUUUCAUUUUGUAGUAGUUUUUACUAGUCUGGUUAGUAUUGAUUGUAUUCUUGUUGGUUUUUCAUGUUCGCGUGUGUUUUUUGUUGGUUUUUCAGCUCCCACCCGGUGGACGUACCCUAGGAGCUGAUGAAUGACAAGGCGGAUGUGCCCACGCCGCGGUCAGACGCCAUUUCAACGGCAGAACUCCUGUCACACAUGACGGAGUUGUUUGUUAGUGGUUCAACGCCUUCAUGCCGGGUCGGUUUCGCCGCCGCAGGCACAAGUGCCUCUGCGACUUAACAUGCCGGGUUACAGGUUAAACCGACAAGAAGUCUGUUGCCGAUUUCCUGCACGACCUUACCGCCUAUCAGACUGGUAUGGGAAUUUCGGACGAAGUUCUAAUCCAAUGCUCUUUGGUCGGAGACGCCGCCCGCUGGCAUCGGUUACAAUCGGAGUUUGCGUCCUUUCAGGAUUUCCAGCGUCGGUUCAGAAAACUAAUUUCUUCCCCUGGAUUACAAAUACCAUGUCCUAGAGGAAUUACAUAAGUGUACUCAACAUCCUGCAGAAAGCUUAUCUGAAUUCCUUCGGGCAUUGCAAGAUGUCCAGCAGAGCGGAUCCCACUGCGGAAGAGCAGCGCGUCACACGGGCUGUCCGUCAGUGCCACCCUGCUUCCGGCCCUACUUAAAGCGAUAGUCCGGAGGUCUGGUGAUUUUCGAAUAACGACUGUAUUAGAUUCCAAACAGGACGUGUAUGCUACAUGUGAAACGAGAAAGCUUAAUUCUUUCUUGUUGUAGAGGAAAUGAAUUUAAUUGUAUGCGAAUUCCAUAUCCGGUUUCGGUAUCCCCCGACCAUGCCCCACACUAGUGACGUCACGGGUGUCCAGCCAAAAGCAGCGUCUGCAGCGGCGACGCGAGACGCAAUGCAAUCGAAAGUGCUUUUAGCAUGAACGCUACGCACGAAGAAGAGCUGCUUUCUGAGAGCGACGACGACCUUUAUUAUGAGAACUACGUCGAAGACGAAUGUCAGUUUACAACAGGCCCUUUGCCAGUACCGCAAGUACACACGGAAGCAUGCACGCAUACGGACGAUGAGGCUCCUUCGUCGCCUGAGAUUCCCAUUCAAGCAGCAGAUUUAUUUAGCUGACAGCCUGUUGUCUACACGCUAGUUUUGUGUCUGUUUACACGGCAUAUGUUGUUGAGCCAUCGUUCUGUAUAUCUUGUUUAGAUGCUGGUGCUUAGGCUGCAAUCCGGAACGCCCGGAUGGAUUUCUGUGCUGCUGAACCGUCGUGAUUAUUUCCCAAAUCUGCGACGAAAGCAACAUUGAUUGCAUUGCUCAGCAUCAUAUGCUUCCACUAUCAUACCUUCACCGUCAACUUCGCUCCGUUUUUGUACGACACAUGAGGCACUACAUCCCAACCCAACUGGAGCUACACAGAGACAAGAAAUGGUACUGUAACAACCAUAUGUUUAUACUUACUGAACUGUGCUUUUACAUAUGGAAACCACAAAAGUGUGAGUAGUACAUGUAAAAUUCCUAGAAUACCAAACUAAGUUUCGGGACGGCACGCAGAAAUUUGACUGAUUCUUUCCUUUCUUUUGUGUGUGUGUGUGCAGUACCCUACAGUUUAUAGCAUAUACCUUGUUCGUAUGUUUGGUGUGGGGCCGCCUUGGCCGUGGACAUCGCAGGCAAAUACCCGGCUGCUACGUCAUCUAUUCGCAGUGCAUUUCCAUCACCAGUCUAUCACGGAUUUCAAGCGAUUGCUCACUGCAUGACUGGAGAACGAUCUUGCUGCCCAGCCUGCGUUGAAACCUGGCUGUACUCUUGUACAAGGAAAUAAAUAGCACUUCUGGUAGAGGAAGUACUGACUCCGGUGUAUAUGAGCAAGGCCCAUGAUGUCGAACAGGCGCAGCGUCUUGGUGAUGCUGCUACCAGAGAAAGGGAUUGCGGAGCACAUUGCAAUAUUGCGCACAGGUUUCUCAUGAACAAGGCCAGCUGGCUGUUGACUGGUUCCUGUGGUCAUUCUCACAAGUGAUUGUAGCUCUUCCAAGCGUUCCCAUUGUUGUGAGCUGCACGUUUGUGAGCAGGGGUCGAAACCGGAAAUGAACCGUAACCGAAAAACCUCAAAAAAAACGUUAUUUUUU